rnacentral:lncRNA from 1 species
CCUAUUAUCAUUUCAGAGUGCCACGAGCCUCAUCUUGUUGUCAACGCAGGGUACACCAUCCCUUGGUUGCAUUAUUUUUUGUCAACACAUGGUACAACAUCCCCUGGUUGUCUCAUCUUGUUGUCAACACAGGGUACACCAUCCCCUGGUUGCAUUAUUUUCUGUCAACACAGGGUACACAAUCCCCUAGUUGCAUUAUUUUCUGUCACCACAGGGUACACCAUCCCCUAGAUGCAUUAUUUUCUGUCAAAGCAGGGUGCACCAUUCCCUAGUUGCAUUAUUUUCUGUCAACACAAGGUACACCAUCCCCUGGUUGCAUUAUUUUCUGUUAAUACAGCGUACAACAUCCUCGGGUUGUCUCAUCUUGUUGUCAACACAGGGUACACCAUCCCCUGGUUGCAAUAUUUUUUGUCAACACAGCGUACGACAUCCCCUGAUUGAAUUAUUUUCUACAUAGGGUAUAACAUUCCCUAGUAGCAUUUCAAAGUACCACGAGCCUCAUCUUGUUGUCAACACAUGGUACACCAUCCCCUAGUUGCAUUAUCUUCUGUCAACACAGGAUACACCAUCCCCUGGUUGCAAUAUUUUCUGUCAACACAGGGUACAACAUCCCCUGGUUGUCUCAUCUUGUUGUCAACACAGGGU